UAUAUAUGUAUAUAUAAUCAGUAUUUUCAGGAACACCCCAGACUUUGAAAGAGGGUGUGUGUGUUAAAUACAGGAAAUACACCCAGCUGAGGAAAACCUAGGAGGCACCAGCGUCACUGGUUGAGGACCCAGGGACUUGGUGGGGACAUGCAGUGGGCACCUGGGCAGCAACAACUGGUCACCCAAAUUGCAAAUGGGGAACAGCUGGCUGCAGAGGUGGAGCAAUGGGUUCUUAAAGGUGGUGGCCUGUGAUAUUAGGCUCCUGUGAAGGAGGUCUAUGCUGUCCUGCUGUUCCUAACUGCUGAGCUCACUGGGCAGGAGGCGCUUCUGGAUUCAGCUCUGGCAAAGCCUAAGCUGGCGUGCUGUCUCAUUUUGUGCUUAGGCUCGUGCCAGCUUCUGCAGCAUAUAAAGGUGACCUGGAACACAUCUGCAAAGCCCUCCAAAGUAGUAGGAAUGUGCUCCGUUAGGACAUGAUUCAUCCUGCAUACCGCAUGGGUGGCUGCUCAGGGAGAAUUUUGACAUUUGCAUAGGCAGAGACUUUCCGCUUCUCACUUGCCCUCCAACUCCUGUGCUCUGCCUGCUCAAGCAGGGGGGCUGUGGAGCCAGAAGGGAUCUCCCCGAGCUGGAGCCGACCCGGCAGCAGUGGUUCUGUCCCACCACCUAAAAGGACAACGGUGAGCUCCACGGGCAAGCUUAAGGCAAGAAGCUGCUCAUCUGAAGGAUGGCUUCAGCCUCUUAGGUCCAAGCAAAGCCGUCCGGAGCUGCUGUCCAGGGAUCGAUCAGGUAUUUGGGAACUGCAGCCAGCCCCCGCGGGCAGGAAAAUAUUAUUACAGUCCUACCGCUCAGGGAAAACCUGUACCAUGCCAAAAGUAAGUGAUACGGACAGGACUGAGUCACACACGCUGUGUCUGGGAAGGAAAAGGAGUUGGGCAACAGCACAGUUGUCUCUUUUUACCUUUGGGCUGCUCCCAGGUAAGUGGCUUUAUCUCAGCAGCUGCAGUGUGAGCGGGCUGAACCACAGGCCAGUGAGGGACGGUGAUGCUCUCGAGUUUGGGAGGCUGCUCACUGCCUUUCACCACCUGACUGCGACCAGCGGUGCUUGUGGAGUGAGCAAGACGUGUGCCACUGCUGGAUAAAUGGGAAAGACGCAGGAAUCGUGAAUUAAGAUGCUGCUUGACCACAAACACUACAGGAUUCAUGCCCCUGGGAGUUCUGCACAUUUGUUUCGUGUGAAAUCGGAGGGAUGCACCCCGUUGGCUGUUCGUCUGUCCUUGGUAAGAAAAGUGCACAGGCACUGGAAAUCUACAUACAGGAAAAGUUCCUGUGCACAUGGGGCCAAAUUCUGCCUCGCUUAAUUUAACUGACCACGGUUAUUGCAGUGAAUCUUCCCAUUAUUGUCAUUAAUCUUGAUAAUGACAACUCUAAAGAUGCUUCCAGGCUUACUUCUGGGGAAAAUAGCUUUCUGAACGCGUCUUCCUGAAUCCACAGGCAGGGUAAAGCAAUAAAUGGAAAGAGGUAUAUGCUUGGAUAGAUGGUUGCUGUUCAGUUAUAACUGUCUGAGUAUCAGCCUAGUGAACCGCUUCGUGCUGCCACUGCGUACCGGGCCAAAUCCGUCCCUGAUCCAACUCCAGUGAAAUGCAUGGACCACAUUCUCAGCUGGGGUGAAAUGACAUUAGUCAGUGGAACUGUGCUCGUUUGUCCCAGCCGAGGACCUGGCCGAUAGAUGCCCACCGUUUAUGUGGCUGAAAUGUCCUUUUUGGUAAGACCACAGGAAUAAUGCUGCAAAUAGUCCAGACAGAGCAUGUGAUUCGGUACAUUUCUGGUUCUCUGCAAAAGUCUGGGUGAAAUAGAGGCAGCUUUAAUUAAAAGUAGUAAAGAACAAAGACUUUUUUUUUUAAUGUUCAUGCUUUGUAGGAAUUUGCUUAAACUUUAAGCAUAUUUUUCCAAGCUGAGUCUGGGACCAGAAAAGUAGUAGAAUUUGGCAACGUUUCCUGUAAGAUUUCCAGUGGACUUACAAGUUACAAACAUACGUGAAGUUGAAAUGAUCCUUUAUUCUCAUCCGUAACAGGGAGGGAGGAGAAGUAUUUACGCAGGAUAGACAGUUUCCACUUAAACAGAACAGGGUAACAGGGACUGUCUGUGAGAUUCAGGAUGCUCACUGCCAUUAAUGCACGUGGGAGAUGAGCAUCCGUAUCUCCUAAACACCACGUAAAAUCCUCAGUCAGGAAACAGUGGAGCAAUGCCUUAUUUACAGCAGCUGAAGAUCUGGCCCCAGAUGCUGCUUGGGGCUUUGUGUACUGUCUCGGUAGGGCCGUUAACUUUCUUGCUUGAGGGCCACAAAACCCGACCCUUAAUUUACAGUAGGAGGAAAACUACCAUUUAAAUAUCUAUUUUAAAAACACUGUACCGUGCAAUGAGUCUUUAUAUUGUGCAUAUGUACCUGCAGAAAACAUGAGGUUACACCUACAUCAUCUGGAGGGAAUGACACUUAUUUUCAGUGGGAGAAAGAAAGAGUAAAAACCUAAUAACAAAAUAAGUUACUCGAUAUCUGGAAGACAAAUAGAUUAAUCUUACUUUGUCCCAAACCGCUGCUUUUACGUACAUCCUCCGUUCCCCCAAAGGAAUGGGAGGUUUCCUAUUUGAAGUACCAGACACUCCAAGAUACGCACCACUGUAACAACACGCACAGUUUUUACAUCAACUGUGCUGCAAAGCCAUGGGAUUCAGAGCCUCAGUAACACAAUGAAUGCAAAGGAGGAAAAAAAAAAAAG